UUGCUUGCAAUCCGCUGACGACCGGCGCACGGGUGCGUAACGCGUAUGCAACCUACCUUCUACAGGGGGAUAGUCAAUAGAAAUGUUGAAUAAUACCCCAUACGAUCUUUGAAUAGCAUUAUUUAAAGAAGAAAGCUCCGGCGGUAGAAGAUGGGCAUGCGUCCUAUUAGUUAGUUGGUAAGGUAACGGCUUACCAAGACUUCGAUAGGUAGGGGUCCUGAGAGGGAGACCCCCCACACUGGUACUGAGACACGGACCAGACUCCUACGGGAGGCAGCAGUGAGGAAUAUUGGACAAUGGAGGCAACUCUGAUCCAGCCAUGCCGCGUGCAGGAAGACUGCCCUAUGGGUUGUAAACUGCUUUUAUACAGGAAGAAAUAUACCUACGUGUAGGUAUUUGACGGUACUGUACGAAUAAGGAUCGGCUAACUCCGUGCCAGCAGCCGCGGUAAUACGGAGGAUCCAAGCGUUAUCCGGAAUCAUUGGGUUUAAAGGGUCCGUAGGCGGUCUUUUAAGUCAGAGGUGAAAUCCUACAGCUCAACUGUA
rnacentral:rRNA from 1 species